AAAAUCACAUUGGAUGUUUGUACUGUCAUCAUUUUUUUUAAAACACACACACAUACAUCAAAGGGUUCUGACGUGAAUGUGCCAAACUGAAAGAGAUUCACUAUCAUUUGUGUUUUAUACCAGAAAUAGGUCGUCUUCUUGUUUUAGUAUUAAAUGAAGUUUGAUGCUUUUGUUGCUGUAGCCCCCCCCCCCCCCCCACUUCUAAUUUAGGUGUUUUCAGUUGUAUACAUUAGAAAACAACCUUUGUGUAGAAGAACAACAUUGUCGAGAUCUUCCAUGUCUAUGUCGUAAACCCUUUGUCAAUGUUUCUCAUUGUGCAGCCUACAGUUAGCGCAAUGAUUAAAAUGCAUUUUUAAAACUGUGGCUCCUCCUGUUGGUCAUUUCUGGAUAUUCACCUGUUUUUAAACCGUAUUUGGCACAAAUGAAAAAAGUCUAUAUGAACAGCUCAGCAGCGAGGAACAAUUAACCCAAAUCACUUAAGUACAUAUUUAUGUCAAUGUAUGAAGUAUGUAUGAAAGCACCUUUGGCUGUUAUAAUUGUAUCGCCCAGUUUCCGCUGCCAGGUCAAAUGAGUCAUUCUUUUCGGUCUUGUAUCUGUAAGUAAUGGGGAAAUUCUAACCCCUGUAGCUGUUUUUUAAAUGUACGUUUUACCCUAAAAGUACACCAUGAUGUAUUUGUACCAAACUGUCAAAAUGUAUUAUUUUGAUAAGGCCAAAAAGACGUAGAAUUAUAGGUUUUGUUAUUUAAACAAAAAUGGUGAGGAAGGUUAAACGUGUUGAUGGUGUGGUUUGAAAUUUAAAAUAAUGUUUUUCUCAUAUGACUCAUUAAGUGGUUCCUCUGCUUCGUUGUGGGAUCACGACAUCGGUGAAGAGUGGGUCACUUGUUGAUCUGGCAACACCGCUCGUUAGCUCUCUCUCGUUAUUUAAAUACAUAUUUAAUCACAGAGUUCCUAUUUACUUAGUUUUUGAUCCGUUUUUUUGUUUAGCGUCCUGUAGUUUGAGUUACAACGCGACUUUACCCUCGUUUACCACUUUCUCAUCACUAAAAUUAGUCAGAAUACGAACUAACAGAAUUAGCUUCCGUGGCUAUAAAAAAAGACGUUGGAACUAAAACACGGAUAAAACAACGGAUUUAUGGAACGCUUGGUUUGACGUUUGUGUUCUACAAAUAAUUAUUGCCUUGAAGAAGCGGUUGAUGACUGAAAGUCUGACUAAAGAGGAGGUGAAAAAGCACCGAACCAAGACCAUCCCUUUAGCCUGGCCAGGUCCUGUCCACACACGGGUGAACACGGCUCUGUGGAUCUCUGACACCUGGACAGGACAUGGAAACAACCGUACGAUAUACAUCUGGGACCAGGGAAAACUGCCAGACAGCGAGGCCAAAGGUCAACAGACAGAUACGUCGAGCAAAAGGACGUCGUCCUCAUGAAACUCAUCAAAUAUCACAUCUGACCCCCGUCACGUCUGACCUCCAGCUUCUGGACACUGCUCCCCCUGGUUGUCAUGGGUGACAUUACAGCGGCGUGUUAUCACGGCUGUGGUUUGACUUUCUUUGCUCUGGGCCUGAGUUUCCAGACAAUUCCAAACCAAACUGCCAACCUGCCACUCUGGACCGAAGGACUAAAAGACACGUGGACCUCCGAGACGCGUCUUCUCAGGUUUCUAACGUCAGUCCUGACUCGGUACCUUCUGGUGCCGGUCCAGCCCACAACUGCAGUUAUGUAAGUGUUAGGCGUUUGAAAACGGCCACGUUCGGCCCCUCAGUUGUGUCUCGUUGCUGAUAAUCGGUGGCCUGGCGUGGUGUGGCGUGCGGCUGACAGAUGCCUGCUCCAGCUGGUACUGGGGGGGUUUAUCGCCCGGUUGGAACGCAGGUCCUCACACCCCUCCACUGUGCUGGCCAACGUCGCCGUGUUUAAUGAGUCACGAAUUGCCUGUUUGUCUUCUGCUCCCUGCUGUUUCUGCGCUCCCCCUUCCAGAACAAUCCCUGAAACACAUGCUGCUGUGGUCCGCAGAGCAGCCAGAGCGCCAUCCUCAGCCAAACUGUUGUAAAGAACAAAGUUGUCAAAUUUUUUUCCCUGCUCUUUUUGUCAUUUUCCUGCCUUCCUGGGUCUCCAUCUGAGAGAGCGACGGCUUGCUCUGUAAUAAAGCCGCCUUAUCAGACGCUGCGCCUGACCUCGCCAAUAUGGCCGCCCUGAGGAAGUAGUGGCCAUUUGAAGCCCCUGACAAACACAUAAAUGGCUCUGUAAUUGGACUGCUUUGUUGAGCGAGGCGCUGGCCGCUCCGACGCCGCUGAACCACGCUCUGUGGUAAAUGGAGCCGCAUUAUGGCAACACAUGGAGCAGGAACUGGCAGGACCAGGAGACGGAGGCAGGUGGUGUGGAUCAGGGAGCGGAAAAAUCUGCAGAAAAAAUUGUGUUCAAAUUGAGUUUGAAGAAAGUUGUUCUGGGCCCAAUAAUGAUUAAAAAAAAAGUUAGGCUUCAUCUCACCUGUUUAAUCAACAGGUGGCAGAUGCACCGGUACAGAAUCUGAAAGUAUUUUUGGUUGAAGAAACAUUUCUGAUAAAUUGAACAGAUUUCAACUCACAGAGACGAAUCUCAGAAAACAAACUUCCCAAAAAGAUCCAAAUCCUGUGACUGAGGCCCAAAUUUAACAAAGUAAAAAAAAAAUACUGCAAACGAAAAAAUCAACUCCAUGCAGCCCCAACAGAACCAGUCCUUCCAGUGCUGGACAUCAAAUCUGGAAAAUCAGAUCCAAAUGGAACAACACAAGCAUUGGAUCAAGAAACAUAGAUUUUUAAUAACGCCUGCGUCAGAUGUUCGGUCCAUAAACACCCCCCCUCCCCUCACCCCCCAUGUACACGGUGCCUGCAGUAGAUGUAGUAGAAGUCGGAGUAUCUGCGGAAUCUUGGCAGCGCCGGGCUUCGGCCCAGUGCCGUGAAAUCCACAUUCUGCAGGGCUGCUCUUUGUGGCCGACGCUGACUCCUCAGAGUGGCAUUCUUCUCAUUGUACAGGUCAGUGAGACAGAGGCAACUGGCCUGAAAAGAUCCUGGACAAGAGGGGGGGGGGACAAUGGUUAAAGGCAGCUCAUAAAUGUCUCCUCUUCAGCUCCGGCCCAUUGACUCGCAGCCUCCCUGCCAGGCAGGGCCCUGUCAGACCAGCCCCUCUCUCUAACAGCUUAAUUAGCAGAAAGAACAACAAUGUCUCGGCCUGUUUUGACUGAAAUAUAAGAACGGGGAGAAGACCCCGAAGACCCCGGCCCUGUUCUCUCCGCCUCUCAUUGUCCGGCCGCGGCUCAGAAUCGCAUCGUCCUGACUUUUCUCUUCAGCUCACUACAAAUAAAACAACAUUCCAGCACUGUUCUGUGAGGAGCAUGACCACCAGCUGAUGGAGGAGAGGGGGGGUCAGAGGGGGGGUUAAGGUCUGAUCCCACAGACCUUCUGAUAGAUUACUGAGGAUUUUACAGCUUCUACCUGUGGGUGGGUGAAGGGGGGGGGCUGUUAGUUUGGGAAGUGAACAGAAGGUGGAAGGAAAAAGGAAGUGACUGGAGAAGUUUCCUGGAGAACCGAUGGUCAUGACACUGUCCUCAGGUGUGGUUUGAUAGGACACAGUGGAGGUCUGUAAAUUGGGAUCAUAUUGUGGAACCCCGCCCCUCGUGUUCCCCCCUCACAGACCCCUUCCUGACAUCAGUGUUGUCUUCAUUCAGGUUUUACUAAGAGGAUAAAACACUGCACCAGCUCUCAGUUAGAACUGAAAACGUCCAGAGGUCAAGGACCAGUUCAGGUCCCACAUCUGACCUGGAAGACUGAAAACUCACACUCUGAGAAAACGCUCCAAACCUCCCACAGUCCACCUGUACUGCAGUAAUCUGAACAACCAACCAAUCAGUGAUGAAAUAAAACCAAAGAGGAGAGAAAAAAAACCCCCAAAACAUCAAGACAGGAACG